AAAUUGCAGAGAGAUGAUUCCUAAUGAGGACUCGUCUGCAGUGUUUUAGCCUCAGAAAUCUCGGCUGCUCCUUUCUGCGGUGACAACCUUGCCCUUCACCUGCCUGCAGGUUUUGGCACAAGGGACCUGUAGGAGAAACCUGUGACAACAGUACAGCGUCCCUAAGGAUGCUGCAGGCUCAGUUGUCUCUCAGGGGCUUGGGCUGGACCAGCUGCCGUGAUCUGGUUGCACAAAGGAUGUGCUCUCUCCUUCUCACCCCAGUUGCACAGACAGGUUCAGAAUGAGCCCUGCAAGGUGGAAGCACGUCUCAGCCCCUACACCCACUCCGUGCAGCACCACACGUUGCUAAGCCCACCCGAUUCCUCCUGCAUUAGGAAUAUAAGCACAGGAGCUUCCUAACUACGUCUCCUGCUGCUGCUGGCUCCGCAACUUGGAACAGGUUAGGUUCCCUCCUGAAUUCUCUUGUUAUUAAUAUCACAAACCAAGCUGUUCUGAGAGCGGUGUCCCAUUAAUCAUUUUAGCUCUGCUGCAGUUUUUACCUCGCUUCCUCUUCCUGUGCCUGAACAGUCUUCAAUAACAUUCAGCUCUGUGGGUAGCGCUUGGUUAAAAUCAGCAGGUCUGCUAGAGCAGGGAAGGACCCUGACCUGAGCAAGCUGGGGCCAAGUGAAGGUGGGACAAGGAUGCAUCC